CCUACGGGUGGCAGCAGUAGGGAAUAUUGCUCAAUGGGGGAAACCCUCAAGCAGCAACGCCGCGUGGAGGAUGAAGGUUUUCGGAUUGGAAACUUCUUUUGUUAGAGAAGAUAAUGACGGUAUCUAACGAAUAAGCACUGGCCAACUCCGUGCAAGAAGCCGCGGGAAUAAGGAGGGUGCAAGAGUUACACGGAAUCACUGGGCGUAAAGAGCGUGUAGGCGGGAUAUCAAGUCAGAUGUGAAAUCCUAUGGCUUAACCAUAGAACUGCAUGUGAAACUGUUAUUCUUGAGUAUGGGAGAGGUAAGUGGAAUUCUUGGUGUAGGGGUAAAAUCCGUAGAGAUCACGAGGAAUACUCAUUGCGAAGGCGACCUGCUAGAACAUAACUGACGCUGAUGCGCGAAAGCGUGGGGAGCAAACAGGAUUAGAUACCCUUGUAGUC
rnacentral:rRNA from 1 species